UGGCGCUCUGGAGCUUGAGUUGCGGUCCUGCGCCGCGAGGUGUCUGGAUCCCGCUUCCCAACGCAUCUGCAGGUGGCUAUGUCGCACCCGUCCCCCCAAGCUAAACUCUCCAACCCCAGUAAUCCCCGAGUCUUCUUUGACGUGGACAUCGGAGGGGAGCGAGUUGGUCGAAUUGUCAUAGAAUUGUUUGCAGAUAUUGUACCCAAAACUGCAGAAAAUUUUCGUGCAUUAUGUACAGGAGAAAAAGGGAUCGGAUCUAUGACUGGGAAACUUCCCUAUUUCAAAGGAUGCCCUUUCCAUCGAAUUAUUAAAAAAAUUAUGAUUUAGGGUGGAGAUUUCUCAAAUCAGGAUGGAACAGGUGGAGAAAGUAUUUAUGGUGAAAAAUUUGAAGAUGAAAAUUUCUAUUAUAAGCAUGAUCGCGAGGGUUUAUUGAGCACGGCAAAUGCAGGCCGAAAUACAAAUGGUUCUCAGUUCUUUAUCACAACAGUUCCAACUCCUCAUUUGGAUGGGAAACAUGUGGUGUUUGGCCAAGUAAUUAAAGGAAUAGGUGUGGCAAGGAUACUGGAAAACGUAGAAGUGCAAGGUGAAAAACCUGCCAAAUUGUGCGUUAUUGCAGAAUGUGGAGAAUUGAAGGAAGGGGAUGAUUGGGGUAUAUUCCCCAAAGAUGGCUCUGGCGACAGUCAUCCAGAUUUCCCUGAGGAUGCAGAUACUGAUUUAAAGGAUGUAGCUAAAAUUUUAUUAAUAACAGAAGACUUAAAAAACAUUGGAAAUAAUCUUUUCAAAUCCCAGGACUGGAAAAUGGCCAUUAAAAUAUAUGCAAAAGUUUUAAGGUAUGUGGAUGGUUCAAAGGCUGUUAUUGAGAAAGCCGAUAGAUCUAAACUACAACCUAUAGCUUUAAGCUGUGUACUCAAUAUUGGUGCUUGUAAACUGAAGAUGUGGAAUUGGCAGGGAGCAAUUGACAGUUGUCUGGAGGCUCUUGAAAUAGACCCAUCAAAUACCAAAGCUCUAUACUGCAAAGCUCAAGGGUGGCAAGGAUUAAAAGAAUAUGAUCAAGCAUUGGCUGAUCUUAAAAAGGCUCAAGAGAUAGCACCAGAAGAUAAAGCUAUCCAGGCAGAAUUACUGAAAGUCAAACAGAAGAUAAAGGCACAGAAAGAUAAAGAGAAAGCAGUAUAUGCAAAAAUGUUUGCUUAAUAAGGAUUGUUUUGCUUAAAUAUUACAUGUUAAUUGUAUAAAGGUAAUAAGGAAAUGUAAGGGGGUUGGUCUGUUAUAUAUGAUCCCUAAUGUGUUUCCUUUGACACCACAGUUCCCCAUUGUUUACAGUUUAGGAGUACUGAUAGCGGUUUACUCUUAAUAAAAAUAUUUCAGUACAUUAAAGCUUUUUUUAAUGGUCAUCUGCAUUAUUUACAAAGAAUAAUGGUAUCUAGUUUGUUUUUAAACUCCUAAAGACACUUGUCGAAUUAAUAGAUGAAAGCUUAAGUUUAUAUUUUUGUAUUGUUUCCCUCAAUUCUUUGAUGUAUCUGUGGUUAGUUUGUGCUGGUGUUUUACACUUGUAGAUAAUAAAUGUAUACCUGUUCAGGGUGGCCAGACUUUUUUGGCCGAGGGCCAGGUAAUAUUUAGGUUUUGUAUUCCAUCAGUCUGUCACAAUUACUCAACUCUGCAGUAGUAACUCAAAAUUAGCCAUAAACAAUGUGUAACCAGUGGGUAUGGCUGUGUUUCAAUAAAACUAUUUAUAAUAUGCAGUGAGCUGGAUACUGACCUCUGGUUUAGAAUGUAUGUUCAUUUUUAUAUUUGAGACUUAAAUUUGGAAAGUCAUGUGUAUAAUAAAGUCCAACA